rnacentral:rRNA from 1 species
AGCCCAAACCGUUGCCGUUUCGGCGACAGCGGGGUCAUGGGACCGCGACAUUCGACGGAAGACGAAGUGCAAUUACCUGGAAAGGUAAGCCGUGGAGGGUGACAGCCCCGUGCACGACACCUCUUUCGAAGAUAGCGGGAUCCCGAGUAGGGCGGGACACGAGAAAUCCUGCCUGAAUUCGCCAGGACCGCCUGGCAAGGCUAAAUACUCCCGAGAGACCGAUAGUGAACCAGUACCGCGAGGGAAAGGUGAAAAGUACCCCGAGCAGGGGGGUGAAAUAGACCCUGAACCCGCGCGCCUACAAGCGGUCGGAGCCAUGAAAUAUGGUGACGGCGUGCCUUUUGCAUAAUGAGCCUACGAGUUAGUCGUCACCAGCGAGGUUAAGGGCUUCAGGCCCGUUAGCCGAAGUGAAAGCGAGCCUUAACAGGGCGUCGAGUUGGUGGCGCUAGACGCGAAACCUUGUGAUCUACCCACGAGCAGGUUGAAGUCGCGGUAACACGUGAUGGAGGACCGAACCGGUAAACGUUGAAAAGUUUUCGGAUGACUCGCGGGUAGGGGUGAAAGGCCAAUCAAACUGGGAAAUAGCUCGUACUCUCCGAAAUGCAUUUCGGUGCAGCCUGUGAUGUUCUGUUCCAGAGGUAGAGCUACUGGUUGGACGCGAGGGCUUCACCGCCUAUCAAAUCCGGAUAAACUCCGAAUGCUGGAACACGAAAUCAUGGAGUGAGCCCGCGGGUGCUAAGGUCCGCGGACGAGAGGGAAAGAACCCGGACCACCGGCUAAGGUCCCGGAUGGACAGUUAAGUUGAUCAAACGAGGUGGGAUCGCGGAGACAGCUAGGAUGUUGGCUUGGAAGCAGCCAUUCAUUUAAAGAGUGCGUAACAGCUCACUAGUCGAGCGAUCCCGCGUGGAUAAUACACGGGCAUCAAACUGUCAACCGAAGCCGUGGGGUUAGUGAUGAGCUAACCGGUAGGAGAGCAUUCCUGCCAGCUUAGAAGGUCACCCGCGAGAGUGACUGGAGCGGCAUGAAAAGCAAAUGUAGGCAUAAGUAACGAUAAUGGGGGCGAGAACCCCCCACGCCGCAAGACCAAGGAUUCCCCGGCAAUGUCAAUCAGCCGGGGGUCAGCCGGCCUCUAAGGCUCACCCGAAAGGGGAUGCCGACGAGAAACGGGUUAACAUUCCCGUGCUUCUCGUCACCGUGACGCGGUGACGGGGUGAUGAAUGGACCGCGCGCUGACGGAAUAGCGCGUUGAAGGCCGUACCCUUUGACGGUGGUAGUCAAGCACGCCACCGGAGGCGAGAGCCGAUAGUACCACGAGACCCCGGUCGAGUGGAUAGCGUCCAGGCAAUUUACCCCCUAGAAAACCCGCUAAACUUCAAGUGACGAGGAACCGUACUGUAAACGGACACACGUGGUCGGGUAGAACAUACCAAGGCGCUCGAGUGAUUCAUGGUCAAGGAACUAGGCAAAAUAGUCCUGUAACUUAGGGAUAAAGGACGCUCUAGUGAUAGAGCCGCAGAGUAAUGGCCCAGGCGACUGUUUACCAAAAACACAUGGCUAUGCCAAAUCGAAAGAUGACGUAUAUGGCCUGACACCUGCCCGGUGCCGGAAGGUUAAGAGGAGAGCUCAUCGGAAACGAGAAGGUUUGAAUUGAAGCCCCGGUAAACGGCGGCCGUAACUAUAACGGUCCUAAGGUAGCGAAAUUCCUUGUCGGGUAAGUUCCGACCUGCACGAAUGGUGUAACGAUCUGGGCACUGUCUCGACCAUGAGCUCGGUGAAAUUGUAGUUCCGGUGAAGAUGCCGGGUACCCGCGACGGGACGGAAAGACCCCGUGAACCUUUACUGCAGCUUCGCGUUGUUCCCGGGCACGGGACGUGUAGGAUAGGUCGGAGGCUAGGAGUCGGUUUCGCCAGGAAUCGAGGAGCCAUCGUUGAAAUACGACCCUUCUCUUGUCUGGGAUCUAACCCAUGGUAAUGGGGACACCGCGUGGUGGGUAGUUUGACUGGGGUGGUCGCCUCCAAAAGCGUA